rnacentral:rRNA from 1 species
GACGAACGCUGGCGGCGUGCUUAACACAUGCAAGUCGAACGAUGAAGAAGAGAAACGCGAACUUCGGUUCAACUUUCACUUCGGAUUAGUGGCAGACGGGUGAGUAACGCGUGAGCAACCUACCUCUUACAAAGGGAUAGCCUCGGGAAACCGUGAUUAAUACCAUAUGACACAUUCAUAAGGCAUCUUAAGAAUGUUAAAGCUACGGCGGUAAGAGAUGGGCUCGCGUCCCAUUAGCUAGUUGGUGAGGUAACGGCCCACCAAGGCGACGAUGGGUAACCGGCCUGAGAGAGUGAACGGUCACAUUGGAACUGAGACACGGUCCAAACUCCUACGGGAGGCAGCAGUGGGGAAUAUUGCACAAUGGAGGGAACUCUGAUGCAGCGACGCCGCGUGAGCGAUGAAGGAAUUCGUUUCGUAAAGCUCUGUUCUAUGGGAAGAAAAGGACUGUACCAUAGGAGAAAGCCCCGGCUAAAUACGUG